CUGCCAGAAAGACUUGCUGGGCUGUUCUUUGGAGCAGCAGGCCUGCGGGUGAAGACUGUACUCCGUAGGCUGACUACCUAAGGACCAUGCCUUGAGGACUGAGACACCUUGCUGACUUGUUCACCUGCUUGGUGGUCACAAAUGCAUGUGAAGUGGCCAGAAAGAAGGUCCAACUCUGUCCUAGAGCUGUGAGGUGACCUAUGUUCCACUCUAACCAACAAAGCCCAGAAAUGAAGGUGAGUGAUUUCAGCAGGAGACAUGAAUGACUUAAAGGAUUUUCUCUCAAGCAAGCAAGUGCAUUCUUCUUAAGACUUCCAUCAUGAAAUAAUUAAAUGUAAUAAUUGACUUGUACAACUUCCUUUAUAAAUUCAUAUUUGGAGACAAAUGUUUCUUCUAACAUAAGUUAUCUUGAGAUAAAAUUGCAGUAAUUUUAUUUGGCUAGUUUUGAUAAAUAAUUCAGCAUAGUCCUUCCUUGAAACCAAGUGCUCUGCUGAGACAUAACACAUUUCAGAGCAUUUGUCAGAUCAUGUUAGAAGUGUUUUGACAUGACAUGAAAAAGGAAGACCUGAUGAAUUUAUAGUUCCAAUCAGAGUAUCCGAGACAGAUUAAAAUUAAAUCUACACAUUCACAAAAUAUGAGUUUCUCCUUGUUUCUCUUCAGCAGCAUUUCCCAUUAGUUAAAUCUUGUUUCUUCAAUAGGUGAACCAGAAACCGGACUUUUUUUUAGCUAAUGAAAAUACACAUAUGGGGAAAAUACACAGUUGAUGUAUACUCACCCAGUGUUUGAAAUAAGAUGAAGUUUGCAACAGAAACCCUCAAACUUCCAUCAAACAAGCUGAGGUAAUAGAUACGCCACCCGUGCUUAUGCAAAAAUGGCUGAAACAUCGUAAUUCUUUUUAUAAGUCUCCUGGCUUGAUUUCUACCAAAAAGUAAACAUCAAAUCUAUCUUGAGUAGGUUACCUCAGCUGCCUCCCUGUAAAAGAGGAGCCAUUAGAUACUCCUUUAAUGUUUGCAGAACUUGAGAACAUGUAAUAGAAUUCCCCCUUGUCUAACAACUAGCCUCCAUGAUUUCUCCAAUUUCUUCAAGCAUUUUUAAUAGACUUUUUCUCUUCAGAUGUUGAGUGUGCUCAUUGAGUUUGAAAGAUUGACCUAUUCACCCUUCACCAUUUUAGGUGUAAGAAAAAUUCUAUAGGCCAAACCUAUAAAAGGUUCUGAAGCAAAGUCACGGUUAAAUUUCUUUUGCAAACAAGACUUUGCUGCAGAUACUGGGCAAGAUCUGGUGGAAUUUUUCUUUCCAGUGUAUGUCAAAUUCAAUUUAUUGGCAGCAGAAAGUAAAAGCAGAGAAUAGAGAAACAUGUAGGUUUUUUUGGUGUGUUUUUUUUUGUUUUGUUUUCGUUUUUUGUUGUUGUUGUUGUUGUUUUUCUUUUUUUUUGUUUGUUUGUUUUUUGUUUUUUUUUUACCUCAGUAUAAAUGGCAAGAUUUUGGUAUUGGGAGAGGGUAGUGCUGCAAGUUUUCAGUGCUUAAAUGUUUGUCUUCCUUCCUUUCCUGUAUCUGCAUGAGUAAUUAAAUGGUUAGGUUAUGUGAGUUGGCAAUAAAUUAAAUUACACAAAUUGAGUCUGUUUUGCUUGUAACAGUAACUGCUUGGCAAUUUAACUGUCUUUGACCCACAAGUUUCCUUUCUUUUGUUCUUAUUUUCUUCUGCAAUUCACUGAAGGGGGUGGAGUGAGCAAGUGGCUGUGUGGUACUCAGCUGCUUACUGGGGCCAACCCACCACAGUCUUUUAAAUUACCUGAUUUGUUAUAAUUUAAUAUCAAUUUUUCCAUCUCCAUUUUUAUCAGCCAGCUUGCUUUGUGUCUUGUAUUACAGCAACAUUCUUAUUGGACAGAAAGAUCAAAAGGUUAAUACUGGAUCUUAUCAAAACUUUACCAAUUCUGACCUUGAUCUAUGGUCUUUUUAUUUUUUUUGUUUUCAUCUCUCAUUUAUAUGAAUAAAGAAACACAUGCAGUUAUGCAGUUAGUUUUUAUUCUUCUGUAAUGAAUCGUUAAUACUUCACUUCCUGAUCUCUCAUGUUUAGCAUUCCUUACUCACUCCUAAUAUCCUUCUUGAGAUGAUUCAAGGGGUUAUGCCUGGACCUUUUCUCUCAGUUCUGGCCACCUUGCUUGCAGUGCUAACUCCAGACCAUUUGUGCAUGUUUGCUCUAGAGAUGUUACAAACGUUCUCCACACUUAAAUAUUUGAGUAUCUUUUGUGUUUUGUUUUGUUUUUGUGUGUAUGUGUUUUGGUUUGUUAGUGUUUUUUUAAAAAAAUUAUGAUUUUUCUAUCUCCUCAUACACUUGAAGAAAUAAAAGGGCUUCCAGGCUUGGGAAGUGUAUUCCUCCACUAUCUAAAAAGAGCAGUUGUAAGACAGGUGAAGUAAAAGAAGAUGGAAUUGAUCAGCAACUUUCUUCUGAUAAAGUGACAACGCAAGUUUCAUUUCUAGGAAUCGUUAUGUCUUUUAUUCAGGAAGUGACCUUAGUGGAUAAAGAGCAGCAAACCUGCGUUUUAUUUCUUUCUGUCAUCAGUUGAAUUUAAAUUCUUAUGAAUAUCAGAUGUACCUUUCCAUCCACUAUUGGAUUAUAAUGCACUAGACUGUCCAGUUUUUUGUAUAUCUACCCACACGUUGGCUUCGUGCAGUGCAGUAUUGAACAGCAAGUAGGAUAAUUCUGUCAUAGUAUAUUUUCAGUAUAUGUAUACUACCUGUGGUAGAAUUAAUUAUAGAUACUGAAUAUAUCAAAUAGAAUUUCUAGUAUUAUUCUGAAAAAAUAUUAUUUGAUUAAUUGCUGUAAAUUAUUAAUAUUUCAUGUAGGAAUUAUUGUCCUGAUUGAAUUGUCUAUUCCCUUAUAACAUGCAUUUGUCACAUGAAAAUAAGCAGUACCCUAACCCUACAUCUGCAAAAAAUAAGAGAUGAAUCAGUCACAGCCUGAAUAUGUCUAAUAUGGAGCUUGGCAGUAAUGUAUAUGAAAAUCCAAUGGCUGAUUUUAAACAAGUAUUCAUUGAAACUUAACAGAUACAGUU